rnacentral:lncRNA from 1 species
CCUGCCCACAGAUUCCUGCCCACAGAUUCCUGUCCUGUUUGAGUUUCUAUCCUGACUUCUUUCAAUGAUGGACUACAUCUGGAAGUCAAGUGGAGACCAUCACAGAGAACCACAACUGUGCGCAGUACAGUGACCAACAGAUCGUGGGGAGCCCGGCUCCAAGGCCUACGUCUGCAUCGCAGCUCUGGCAUCUAUGGCUCUGGGAACGUCGCAGAAGCAGAGGCAGAAAGAUCAGAAGUCAGAGUACAAGGAAAUGAGUGAAACAGUUUCUCCUUAGCAUGGCCACACAAACAAGACUGGAACGGUGGCAAUGCCAGGGCCCGGCUGCUGUAGAAGGGGAAAUUUUUUAUGGGGUCCCCCUCAUAGACAAAGAAGAAUGUGUCGCCUUCAUAGUC